rnacentral:lncRNA from 1 species
GGAAAAACAGGAAAGAAGCCAGCAAAUGAAGGCUGGUGAGCUUGCUUUUAUUGCUGCUUCACUACUGGUUCCGGCUUCUCCUUCUGUUUCCUUGGAAACAGAUACUGGGCAAGCGAAAACAAGCUCUAACUGGAGAACCUGCAAUAGACAAAAUUUUUAGAAUUUCUGGUUUUGACGCCUAUCAGAAAUACUGAAACAGGAUUAUUUUUGACAAUAAUUUAAGUCCUGGACAGAACUGAAACCACAUUCUACUAAAAGGGUUUCCCAUCAGUGAAUGAGAAUUUCCCUUGGGAGAAGUGUAAAGGAUGUGAAGAAAGAAGCAAAAUUGAAUUGGAGGACAUUGAUAUUUAACAAGAGAAGGUCAAACCAAUGGUCUCAACAAGUCACUGUUGCUCACUAUUUAUUUCUGUAAGGCCUUGAAUUUUUGUGUUUAAAGUAUCAUUUUG